CGCGGCCUAUCAGCUUGUUGGUGGGGUAAUGGCCUACCAAGGCGACGACGGGUAGCCGGCCUGAGAGGGUGUACGGCCACAUUGGGACUGAGACACGGCCCAGACUCCUACGGGAGGCAGCAGUGGGGAAUAUUGCACAAUGGGCGCAAGCCUGAUGCAGCGACGCCGCGUGGGGGAUGACGGCCUUCGGGUUGUAAACUCCUUUCGCUAGGGAAGAAGCCUUUUGGUGACGGUACCUGGAUAAGAAGCACCGGCUAACUACGUGCCAGCAGCCGCGGUAAUACGUAGGGUGCGAGCGUUGUCCGGAAUUACUGGGCGUAAAGAGCUCGUAGGUGGUUUGUCGCGUCGUCUGUGAAAUCCCGGGGCUUAACUUCGGGCGUGCAGGCGAUACGGGCAUAACUAGAGUGCUGUAGGGGAGACUGGAAUUCCUGGUGUAGCGGUGAAAUGCGCAGAUAUCAGGAGGAACACCGAUGGCGAAGGCAGGUCUCUGGGCAGUUACUGACGCUGAGGAGCGAAAGCAUGGGUAGCGAACAGGAUUAGAUACCCUGGUAGUCCAUGCCGUAAACGGUGGGCGCUAGGUGUGGGGGUUUUAUUUACGAUUCCCGUGCCGUAGCUAACGCAUUAAGCGCCCCGCCUGGGGAGUACGG
rnacentral:rRNA from 1 species